ACCGGCUCUGUCUGGAUCCUGCGACAGGGAGGCCCUGGACUGGAGCCCCUCACCUCUGCACCGCACCCCUCAGCCAGCAGCGCCUCUGCCCUGACCCUGGAGCCUGCCCUGACUCAUGCCAGUGGAGUCUGUGGGGGCCAUGGAGCCCCUGCCAGGUGCCCUGCAGUGGGGGGUUCAGGCUACGCUGGAGAGAGGCAGAGGCCCUCUGUGGAGGAGGCUGCCGGGAGCCAUGGGCUCAAGACAGAAAGCUGCAACGGAGGGCCCUGCCCAGGUUAGAGCUGCGAGGCCCAAGACACUGUAUUCACCCUGGACUGUGCCAACCAGUGCCCACACAGCUGUGCCGACCUCUGGGACCGCGUUCAGUGUCUGCAGGGACCCUGCCGCCCAGGCUGCCGCUGUCCCCCUGGCCAGCUGGUCCAGGAUGGGCGCUGUGUGCCGAUCUCCUCUUGCCGCUGUGGCCUCCCCAGUGCCAAUGCCUCUUGGGAGCUGGCCCCGGCCCAGGCGGUGCAGCUGGACUGCCAAAACUGCACCUGUGUCAACGAGUCCCUGGUGUGCCCACACCAGGAGUGUCCAGUCCUUGGGCCUUGGUCAGCCUGGAGCAGUUGCUCGGCCCCCUGUGGUGGGGGCACUAUGGAGCGACAUCGGACUUGUGAGGGGGGUCCUGGGGUGGCACCAUGCCAGGCCCAGGACACAGAGCAACGGCAGGAGUGUAACCUGCAGCCCUGCCCUGAGUGCCCCCCUGGCCAGGUGCUUAGUGCCUGUGCCACCUCAUGCCCGUGCCUCUGCUGGCAUCUGCAGCCUGGUGCCAUCUGUGUGCAGGAGCCCUGCCAGCCUGGCUGUGGCUGCCCUGGAGGGCAGUGUCUGCCACGGUGGAGCCUUCAGCUGCUCCCUCGUUGACUGUCAGGGUGAGAUGUGGCUGUCCAUGCCCUGCUGCACCUCCAAAGUCAAGGCCCGGGACUGGCACUGAGGAGGAGAGACGGGCCCUGCUCACAGACUAGACAGAGCUUCAGAAAGCCCUCCCCUGUCUGUCCACACUGACCUCUCUCUAACUGGAGACCCAGCACCCCCUGCCGAGGGCUCCCUGGGCACUCAGUGUGGUCUGCCCCACUUGUGGGGGCAUUCCCUAGCACACAGUAUACACAGAGCCAGGGCUGUGAUGCCAGGAAGUGGAAGGUUCUUUCCCUGCCAGUGAGGAAACUGAGGUCUGGAGGGGUGAGCGGAAAUGAGGGGCCUGGCCUGGCAGCCCCCGGGCUGAUAGCAUUUGCCCUGUGGGGUGCAGUGUUACCCCCAUCUGAUCAAGACCAAGGGCCCACCCACCGUGUUCCCAGCUCUGCCACGCUGGGCUCUGUGAAUGCAGACAUGCAGCAUGGCCAGCCUCCGGGCAGACCACCCACCCCCAGAACAGGCAGAGACAGGGCACAGUCUCUAGGUCUCUGACAGGCAGGUAGAACCCCAGAGGGUGAGACAUCAGUGCUGAGAAUAGAGGCCGAGUGGACAGGAUUGGUCAGGGAGCCUUUUCUGGAGGAGGUGAGACCUGGCCUGGGUCCAGCUAGUGUUUGGGUGGGUGGAUAAGAAAGAUCAGGAGGUGUGGUUGGAGGCUGCUGUGGCUGAGAAGGCAAGAUGGGGACGUGUGGGUGCUCAGCUUGGGAGGGGAGGAAUCGAGGCUGGAUCCAGGGCUGACCUGAAAGCUGGGUUGGAUGGUCUUCCCUGGCAGAGUGCCCCCUGGGGAAACGUGGCAGCAGGUGGCCCCGGGGGAGCUGGGGCUCUGCGAGCAGACGUGCCUGGAGAUGAACGCCACAAAGACCCAGAGUAACUGCAGUUCAGCUCGAGCCUCGGGCUGCGUGUGCCAGCCCGGGCACUUCCGCAGCCAGGCAGGCCCCUGCGUCCCCGAAGACCACUGCGAGUGCUGGCACCUUGGGCGUCCCCACCUGCCUGGAUCUGAAUGGCAGGAGGCCUGUGAGAGCUGCCUCUGCCUCAGUGGGAGGCCUGUCUGCACCCAGCACUGCUCCCCACUCACCUGUGCUCAGGGCGAGGAGAUGGUGCUGGAGCCAGGGAGCUGCUGUCCCUCUUGCCGCAGGGAGGCUCCGGAGGAGCAGUCGCCCUCCUGCCAGCUCCUCACGGAGCUUCGAAACUUCACCAAAGGGACCUGUUACCUGGACCAGGUAGAAGUGAGCUACUGCAGUGGGUACUGCCCAUCCAGCACCCAUGUCAUGCCAGAGGAGCCAUACCUGCAGAGCCAGUGUGACUGCUGCAGCUACCGUCUAGACCCGGAGAGCCCUGUGCGGAUCCUGAACCUGCGCUGUCUGGGUGGCCACACAGAGCCCGUGGUGCUGCCGGUCAUCCACAGCUGCCAGUGCAGCUCCUGCCAGGGAGGUGACUUCUCAAAGCGCUAACAGGCUCCGCUGGGUGAGUCCACAGCUGUCCCUCUUGUGAUCAUGGGACUCAGCAGCACUGACCACGUCCUUCCACGCUCUCUCACCUGCCCCCAACUGGGGGCCCAUGACUUGGCAUUAGCAUGUUCCAAAUAAAGUGAUACUGGCAA
ensembl:lncRNA novel transcript